GGGGUUGUAGCUCAGUGGUAGAGCACUUCCCUAGCACGCGUGAGGCACUGGGUUCGAUCCCCAGCACCA
rnacentral:tRNA from 1 species